AUUUAGAGAAAGUAAAAGUCGUAACAAGGUUUCCGUAGGUGAACC
rnacentral:rRNA from 1 species